rnacentral:rRNA from 1 species
UACGGGGGGGGCAAGCGUUGUUCGGAAUUACUGGGCGUAAAGGGCUCGUAGGUGGCCAACUAAGUCAGACGUGAAAUCCCUCGGCUUAACCGGGGAACUGCGUCUGAUACUGGAUGGCUUGAGUUCGGGAGAGGGAUGGCGGAAUUCCAGGUGUAGCGGUGAAAUGCGUAGAUAUCUGGAGGAACACCGGUGGCGAAGGCGGCAUCCUGGACCGGCACUGACACUGAGGAGCGAAAGCCAGGGGAGCAAACGGG